rnacentral:rRNA from 1 species
AUUGAACGCUGGCGGCAGGCCUAACACAUGCAAGUCGAGCGGAUGAGUGGAGCUUACUCAUGAUUCAGCGGCGGACGGGUGAGUAAUGCCUAGGAAUCUGCCUAUUAGUGGGGGACAACGUUUCGAAAGGAACGCUAAUACCGCAUACGUCCUACGGGAGAAAGCAGGGGACCUUCGGGCCUUGCGCUAAUAGAUGAGCC